UGGGUGAAUAGUCAGUGAUUAUGACACAAAGGGAAGUGGCCAACGACUCUGUCUUUCCAAUGGAGUUUCUUUGAGUUUGGAGAGUUUUGGCUAUGGGUUAGACUUUCCUGAUCAGACCUUUGGUUUUGGAAUUGCUGCAUAAUGCCAUGAAAGAACAUGCUUUAAAGUAUCAUGAACCCGUUCAACAACGGCUUGACCAGUUGGAGAAUACGGAAUACCAAGUUUAUGUGAGACUCCCCAAAAACUCAUAAACUGCUGCUUUUUCUGCGAAAUUUGAUUGUGUGAGAAGACCCAUUCCAAAAUGUGCAAGGGAUCAGACCAUUUGUCACUCCAUUGGCCAAUGAUACCUGUAGGAUGAAAAUCUGGAUUGGUAAUGAAGACUGUAGUAUCAAUGGAAGGAUCUACUCAAUGAAGCUGAUGAGCAGAAACAGCUUGUUGGACUUCCUCCAGCGCUUGUCGCACCACAGAAGUCAAUUUCUGAGGUGAAUUUAGGUCAGGGUCCCCCCCUUAGAAUAUUAUACCUUGGGGACAAUUGUGUCUUGGUUAGCCCUAAAUAAGAACAUAACCAGCUGAUGACACCCAGCAAUUUCUGGGCAUCAUUCAGAGUCUUAAUAGAAUCUGUGAACUGCACCUCUUGAUGCUGACUGGUUUGAUCCAGAAUUUUGACUCAUAAAUAUUUACAAGGAGGAUGCUGUUGAACCUUCUCUGGAGCCACUUGCAGCCCAUAAGAAUGCAGAGCAACGAACACCUGAGGUUAUAUCCUCAGCAAUUCAUCCUGGAUGGAGGCUGCCACCAGGAUGUCACCCAUGUAGUGAUAGCAAUAUAUGUCAGGACACUGCUUGUGGACUCUGGACAAGGCCUGAACCACAUACCAUUGACAAAUACUUGGGCUGUUUCUACAGCUCUACAGCAAAACUUUCCAUUGAUAUCUGUGCACAGCUUCAGCAUUGUUAAUUUCAGGCACAGUAAAGGCAAACUUUGGUUUGUCAGAAGGAUGCAAAAGAGUUAUGAAGAAACAAUCCUUUAAAUCAAUGACUGAAAUUUCCCAUCCCAUAGGGACCAUGGUGGGUGAGGGCAUACCACACUGCAAUGUCCCCAUGCUUUCCAUCACUGCAUUAAUUUUCCAGAGGUCCUGUAACAGCUUCCAUUUCCCAGAUUUUUCUUUAUCACAAAGACAGGAGUAUUCCAGGGACUAGUAGAAGGCUCAAUUGUGUCUCUGUUGCAAUUGUUCCUGAACCAAUUCAUGAAGGCCGACUGAUUUUUUUUUGUCAGGAGCCUCUGGUUCUCCCAGAUGCAUCUGCUCACUAGCCACUGUAAAGGCAGCAUAGGAUACUUAGCGCCCUUCAGCACAGUGACCCCAGUCAAAAAUACAUUCCAAUCCGUACCCCCCAGGCUGCCAAUACAUCCCACCGCCCAGAGGCUGAUUGGAGCUGCAGUGACAUAGGGCUGAACUGGGCUGUCUGCCCAUCUACGUUUUUGAUCAGCACAAACCAUUGAUUUACAAAGGUCUGUGUUGCAUCCCCCACCCCUUCAAUGGCCAAACCUAUGGAAGCCAAAGGCCACGUAGGAGGCCACGCAGAGGAGGAGAUUACUAUCACAUCAGCCCCUGUGUUGAUCAAACCUUGGACCUGGAUCUGAGGUGGGUUGGCACCUGGUAGAAUCAGGGUACAUGUCAUGUGUGGUCGCUGAGCAGAAAUAUCUGUAGCCCAGAAGACUUGUGGCAGUCCUGUGGAUCCAAAGUUGCCAUCUCUAUGAGUGCUCUGGUCAAUUCUGGGGAUACAUGACUGAAGAGGCACAAGCUGAGCAAUACGA